AUACGGAAGGUCCGGGCGUUAUCCGGAUUUAUUGGGUUUAAAGGGAGCGCAGGCGGAGAUGCAAGCGUGACGUCAAAUUUCGGGGCUCAACCCCGUCUCGCGUCGCGAACUGCGUCCCUUGGUUGCGGGAAGGGGAGGCGGAACUCGUGGUGUAGCGGCGAAAUGCAUAGAUAUCACGAAGAACUCCGAUCGCGAAGGCAGCCUUCCGGCCCGUCAACGACGCUCUUGCUCGAAGGUGCGGGUAUCAAACAGGAUUAGAUACCCUGGUAGUCCGCACAGUAAACGAUGGACACCCGCGGUUUGGCCUAUAUGGCUGAGCCGCCAAGCGAAAGCGUUAAGUGUCCCACCUGGGGAGUACGCCGGCAACGGUGAAACUCAAAGGAAUUGACGGGG
rnacentral:rRNA from 1 species